rnacentral:rRNA from 1 species
AAGCCAUCAAACAUUCUUUUUUCUGAAGGGUAUCAUGCGAAGUUGUCCGACUUUGGACUUGCUAAACUUGGUCCUGUGGGUGAUAAGACUCGUGUGACAACCCGUGUCAUGGGGACUUAUGGCUAUUGUGCUCCUGAGUACGCCGCGACUGGACAGCUAACGGUUAAGUCUGACAUCUAUAGUUUUGGUGUGGUGUUCCUCGAGCUAAUUACAGGACGAAGGGCGCUCGAUAGCAAUCGGCCUCGUGAGGAACAGGACUUGGUCUCAUGGGUAGGUUUUGACAAUCUCACGGUGCAGCUAACUGGUCCAAUAAUGAUGAUUUUAUAA